UGUGCCAGCAGCCGCGGUAAUUCCAGCUCCAAUAGCGUAUAUUAAAGUUGUUGCGGUUAAAAAGCUCGUAGUUGGAUCUCGGCGGGCAGGGGGUGGUUCGCUCUUCAGCGCUACUGCCCCGCUUUGCCCGUGUGAUUGGCGGAGGUUUCGGGGUGCUCUUCGUUGAGUGACUCGGAGCGCCGUCAGGUUUACUUUGAAAAAAUUAGAGUGCUCAAAGCAGGCUUUUCACGCUUGAAUAUUCGUGCAUGGAAUAAUGGAAUAGGAACUCGUUUCUAUUUUGUUGGUUUUCGGAAAUCGAGUUAAUGAUUAACAGGGACAAUUGGGGGCAUUAGUAUUCAGACGACAGAGGUGAAAUUCUUGGACCGUCUGAAGACUGACUACUGCGAAAGCAUUUGCCAAGAGUGUUUUCAUUAAUCAAGAACGAAAGUUAGAGGUUCGAAGGCGAUCAGAUACCGCCCUAGUUCUAACCAUAAACGAUGCCAGCUAGCGAUCUGCCGAGUUUUUUUUGUAGGCUCCGCAGGAAGCUUUCGGGAAACCAAAGCUUUUGGGUUCCGGGGGAAGUAUGGUUGCAAAGCUGAAACUUAAAGGAAUUGACGGAAGGGCACCACCAGGAGUGGAGCCUGCGGCUUAAUUUGACUCAACACGGGAAAUCUCACCAGGCCCGGACACUGGAAGGAUUGACAGAUUGAGAGCUCUUUCUCGAUUCGGUGGGUGGUGGUGCAUGGCCGUUCUUAGUUGGUGGAGUGAUUUGUCUGGUUAAUUCCGAUAACGAACGAGACUCUGUCCUGCUAAAUAGUUGGGUCGUCCUUCGUGCGAUCCAAGUUCUUCUUAGAGGGACUGGCUGCGUCUAGCAGCACGAGAUUGAGCAAUAACAGGUCUGUGA
rnacentral:rRNA from 1 species